GCUAGGCGCAGUAGCACAUGCCUGUAAUCCCAGCAACCCGGGAGGCUGAGGCAGGAGGAUUGCAUGUACAAGGCCAGCCUGGGCUAUUUAGCAGGAUCCUCAGCAACUUAGCAACACCCUGCCUCAA
rnacentral:sRNA from 1 species